rnacentral:tRNA from 1 species
CUCGGCGCCGGCCAGGCGGGCGCCGACCUCGUACGUCGGGUAGGCGAGGCGCGGGUAGGCGACCUUGUCGCCCGCGCCGAGGCC